UACAGAGGGGGCAAGCGUUGUUCGGAAUUACUGGGCGUAAAGGGCGCGUAGGCGGCCUGCUAAGUCGAACGUGAAAUCCCUGGGCUCAACCCAGGAACUGCGUCCGAUACUGGUUGGCUUGAAUCCGGGAGAGGGAUGUGGAAUUCCAGGUGUAGCGGUGAAAUGCGUAGAUAUCGGAAGGAACAUCAGUGGCGAAGGCGACUUCCUGGACCAAUACUGACACUCAGGUGCGAAAGCGUGGGGAGCAAACAGG
rnacentral:rRNA from 1 species